rnacentral:rRNA from 1 species
GUGAACGCUGGCGGUAGGCCUAACCCCUGCCAGUCGCACGGCAGCACAGUAAGAGCUUGCUCUUACGGGUGGCGAGUGGCGGACGGGUGAGGAAUACAUCGGAAUCUACUUUUUCGUGGGGGAUAACGUAGGGAAACUUACGCUAAUACCGCAUACGACCUACGGGUGAAAGCAGGGGAUCUUCGGACCUUGCGCGAUUGAAUGAGCCGAUGUCGGAUUAGCUAGUUGGCGGGGUAAAGGCCCACCAAGGCGACGAUCCGUAGCUGGUCUGAGAGGAUGAUCAGCCACACUGGAACUGAGACACGGUCCAGACUCCUACGGGAGGCAGCAGUGGGGAAUAUUGGACAAUGGGCGCAAGCCUGAUCCAGCCAUACCGCGUGGGUGAAGAAGGCCUUCGGGUUGUAAAGCCCUUUUGUUGGGAAAGAAAAGCAGCAGGUUAAUACCCCGCUGUUCUGACGGUACCCAAAGAAUAAGCACCGGCUAACUUCGUG